rnacentral:snoRNA from 1 species
UCUAGCCCUAGAAGCAUUGCAGAUGUGGUUGCUGUGUCACAAGUGCAUCAAUAGGAGGUAGAGAGGACAGAGGCUAUAUCUAUGCUUGGUGUUCUGACUAUGAAGAUCUGAGUCAUUAGUAGCUUAGCAUU